AAUAUUUGACAAUUGGGGCAACCCUGAUCCAGCCAUGCCGCGUGUGUGAAGAAGGUCUUCGGAUUGUAAAGCACUUUAAGUUGGGAGGAAGGACUUUAGGUUAAUACCCUGAAGUGUUGACGCUACCAACAGAACAAGCACCGGCUACAUCUGUGCCAGCAGCCGCGGUAAUCCACGGGGUGCCAGCGUGAAUCGGAAUUACUGGUCGUAAAGGGCGUGUAGGUGGUUCAGUAAGAUGGGUGUGAAAACCCCGGGCUUAACCUGGGAACUGCUUUCAUAACUGCUGAGCUAGAGUACGGUAGAGGGUAGUGGGAUUUCCUGUGUAGCGGUGAAAUGCGUAGAUAUAGGAAGGAACAUCAGUGGCGAAGGGGACUACCUGGACUGAUACUGACACUGAGGUGCGAAAGCGUGGGGAGCAAAC
rnacentral:rRNA from 1 species